rnacentral:rRNA from 1 species
UACAGAGGUCUCAAGCGUUGUUCGGAUUCAUUGGGCGUAAAGGGCGCGUAGGCGGCCACCGCAAGUCGACUGUGAAAUCUCCGGGCUUAACCCGGAAAGGUCAGCCGAUACUGCGGGGCUAGAGUGCAGAAGGGGCAACUGGGAAUUCUCGGUGUAGCGGUGAAAUGCGUAGAUAUCGAGAGGAACACCUGCGGCGAAGGCGGGUUGCUGGGCUGACACUGACGCUGAGGCGCGAAAGCUAGGGGAGCGAACGGG